rnacentral:rRNA from 1 species
CACGGGGGGAGCAAGCGUUGUUCGGAAUCACUGGGCGUAAAGGGCGUGCAGGCGGUCAGGUAAGUGGGAUGUGAAAUGCCCCGGCUCACCCGGGGACCGGCAUCUCAUACUGCUUGGCUUGAGUACGGGAGAGGAUGUGGGAAUUCCUGGUGUAGCGGUGAAAUGCGUAGAUAUCAGGAGGAACACCGGUGGCGAAGGCAGCCAUCUGGACCGACACUGACGCUGAGGCGCGAAAGCGUGGGGAGCAAACAGG